CUGGAUUUCUCGGCAGUUGUCCCAUUACUGCGCCUACAAUUUUAAAAACACCUUAUGGGGUGUUCCAAAAGCUGAGACUUUUCUAUAGUUUGUCAUAUCUGGUCUACACGCAUCGUCUAACCCCGUGAAAGCACUUUGGUAAAUUAUAAAGGCCAAAGCUAAAUUUCCACGUUCGCCAUAACGAUCACUGAAAAGGGAAAAUCUCAGAAGCGCCUGAAGAUGACCUAUGGAUAGAAACCAUGGUUUUAUUUUGAAGGUUGAAAGCGACCCGGUAGUCAGUCGCCUUUGUUCUCGUAAUGAGUGAGGUAAACGGUUCAGUCGACCAACCCUUUUGUGUUGGAUACCAGUACUAGUAAUGGGACCGGUCGCCCGUCAGCUUUGGUUAGACGCGGACUUUCAACUCCAAACAGCACAUUUGAGAUACGACAUCACGAACUAGAGUAACUUUGUCUGUUUAUCAAGUUAUCUGAUGCUAACAAGGAGUGCUAGCUGGAGUCUGGCAAAGCAGCUAACAGCGGCGAAGGUAUGAGGAAUAAACAGAUGUGUUUUGGGAGACUGGACAAGUUUUUUUUUCUUUAGAAAGGCUGGUCAAAGGAUAAACCAACUGUUGGCUAACACUGAGCUGAAGUUUUCGUCAACUUUCCCAGUUCCUCUGUGCUAACGUGCACGUUGAGUAUAUCUGAAAUACUGGAAACACCCUCGGCAGCUUCGAAGGUUGCUGGCUAAAAUCAAACAUGUAGACUAUUCUUCUGGACUGUAAACUGUGGAAUCUCAGUAAUCGCGCUGCACUGUAAGUAAUGUAAGUGGAGGCUUACAUUACAUCUUCCCUUGUGUCUGUUGAACUGCUCAAACACACCCGCAGGUGUGUCGAUGACCCGAGGACGUCACUUUGCCCAGGCCUGAGUCCUCCUGAACAAGUAUUUCAGCUUUGCAACUAGACUGACAGCACAUGCAUGCUUUUCUCUUAAGCUCAUAAAGGUUCAGGAAACUAACAGGACGUGAGAACUGUCGACUUUAAUUCCGCUCCCACAAGCUCAGCCAACAAACAUGACAGCUGUGGUGGGCAGAGCAUGGGGGUGGGUGCUCUCAUGGGGCAGUGGUAGUAGUGCCAGGUCAGAGAACACACAACCUUUGGCAGCUGAGGGCCAAAAGCUGCAGAUUAGUGGUGGCUGGGGCCUCAAGGGGUGGACUUCUUGGAUCUGGGGAAGAUGGGGACAUCAGAGUCAACUAAGUAGUCCAGUAGAGGAGUACUGGGAGGCACAGGAGAAGCUUCAGCCCAUGGAAAUCAAAGAUCUUGGAGCAGGACAAAAAGAGACUGAAGCAACUCUUCCUAGGUGGUGGAAUAGAUAUCUCCCAGCAUGGCCAAAAAAAAUUGGGCUAAGUGGACUAAGACAAAGGAAAUGGGAUGGUGGGACUGGAGAUGUUUGGGGACGUGAUACUGAUGGAGACUUUUCUGAUUAUGGAACCCCUCCUCCAUCCCCCACCCCUUCUUCCUCUCAGACUUCUCCUUUUCGGCUAUUUGCACACAGCUGGAACAUGGAAAUCGUACCAGAGCACUACGAGAUCUGCUUCAACUUUCUACGCCACUUGUUUGACCUGUUUGUUGUUGGCUUCCUCUGGACUGUGUCCCCUCCUGCUAAGCUUAUCCUGGAGGUGUUGGGAGUCCAAGGGGCACUGAGACUGUGGUUUCAUGGUAUGGCCAUGUUUUUUGUCUCCACAGUUGGUAUGGCGGGAUUACUCUGGUUGAUCCAGGAAUAUCUCCCCCAGUUUGCUUUGAUCUAUGGCAUCAUUCAGGCAUUGGUUAUCUCUGUCAGUGUUCGACAGAGUGUGAUGCUAGGUGUGGAGGAAGAGAAUGAGCAGACGGGAAAGGAGACUGAUGAAAUGCAAGACAGUACGGAACAUAAAGAAAAGCUUGUGUCUGUUACAGAAAAGGUGAAGACAAAUUAAAGAUGGUGAAAAUUUGCUGUCACUUCGGGCAUCCACCGAUAUUCCAGCUGUAUCGCACCUCCUCCUGCCCUCAGCCAUCACAGCAGCGGGACUACAAACAGACUGUUUGGCUGCACGAUGUGUUCUGCAGUGUAACUUAAGGAUUAUGUUGCGCAUUCAUUGCAUAUUUAGAGAAAUGAUACUUGUCACUUUAUGGCCAGAUCUGCAUCUGUGCUCAGUUGAUCUUAUUGUUGUCACCAGAAUGUUCACACUGAUAACCUUACAAAGUUUGCUAUUACAAUUAUACUACUAUAAUAAUAAACAAUAUAAGGGUUCAUGAAUGUUCAGGGAACACUCAAGUGAAACAGGAAAACACCCAGAAGCUACUGCUCUGUCAGAUUUGAUUAUAUUUAAUUCUGCCUUACAGCCCCAUUCAGUUUGACCUAAACUGAAACUUGCACAACAGUAAAAAUCAAGCUUGCUCUUGUAAAUUCACUUGAAUUCAACCUUUGUUCAACACCAAACUAUGAAUCACAGAGUCUACCACUGGAAAAUCUGACACACUGUGCUUGGAAGUCAGGAAGUUAUUCCUGCACUCUCAUCACCAUUGAUGGCAACAAAAUUCAGUAUCAGCCUUAUACAUCAUUUAGAGUCUGUGAUGGUACUAACCUGUGAGAUUCAGUUUGUUUCCAGGACAGAGGGCUAGUGUGAAUGUAUGUGUGUUUAUUGGUGUGGAAAUCUGAAUUUGAUUAAAGGGCAAGAAGCCUGAACAGGGGCCAGAGCAAGGAGCGACCACUACCUGUAGCUUUAGAUACCUGUCAGUCAAGCACAUGCACACUACAGCAUAUACUGCAUUAAAGCCAUGAGAUCUCCUCAAGCCAACAGUGGUCUAAAAUUUUUAUUUUCUGAAGCAUUUUUAGACAAAGAGCAAAAGAUUAAUGAAACAACAGUCAAACAGUUAAUUCUUAUAAGUCACAGAGGAAGUAGCUUCCACAUUAUAGUCAUCAAAUGUUCCUUCUGCAGGUGAAAUAUCUGAAACAGCAGAUCUUUCUGGCCCGUGGGAUCAAAUCUUUUGAAAAUCUUAGCAUAUGUAUGCAGGCCACACUACAUUCAACCUUUGAACUCCUCGAGGGAACGCUACAAUCAUUGUUGCUUGCUGUAAGAGAUAUGUGAGAUUUUGAACGUUGACACAAAAUACCAGCAGCUCACUUUAAAGUAUUUUCUUGGAUUCUGCCUUAUUUUCUGUGCCAUGAUGUUGCUUUUUUGAACUUUUACUCAGACUGUAGGCCACACUCUUCCUCCACAAAAAAUGUCAUGGACGGAUUUCUCUGUGUCCACCCAGCACUCCUGUUGUAUAUUACUAUGUUUGACUUGCAAAUAUGUGGCGCUAAACCAUUUGUUCAAAACACAGAGAUGAAUUUUGCUUAGCUGCGUCGGCAUGUGAGAUGUUGAAACCUGUGACCAGAAUUAUCUGAAAUAUCACUGUCUUGUGUGCACAUGAUGUAUAACAAAACUUGGGGUGAAAUAGAAUUUAUAUUCUUGAAUAUAUAGAAUAAAAUCACAACCUAAGUGACAGUGCACUUGUAAGCAUAACAGUGCUGUAAGCAAAUGAAAGUGAAUGUGAAGUCAUUAGUUGAUUGUUUCAGACAUCAGCUGUAAAUCUGCUUUUUUUAAAGGGUACUCGGAGCUUUAAAGAAAGUCAUUUGGAUUCUUUGGCCACGCUCGUUUCUCCAUCACAGUUUUCAUUUGGUAUUAUUUAUAUAAGCUUGGAAACAAACAGUACUGGUAACGCAGCUUUGCUGAGGAGUUGAAUAUGUUUGAGUUUUUGUUAGACUUUGGACUUUAGCGAAUUUCUAAUGGAUGUUUUUCUGUUUUGGGGAACAUAAUGAAAUAUUUAAGUAUUUGAAGGUUUUUGGAUUUCUAUUAUACAUCAUAUAUUAUUAUUAUUGAAGUGAAAAGGCUUUUUUAUAGUCACAAAUUGCAAUAAUGUCUUAUAAUUAUGACAGGUUCAAGGCCUAACAAAAGUGCAGUUUCAUUGGAAUAUAUAUGUGCACAGAAAUGUAUGCUAAAAUAGAACUGUAUUCAGUUGUCAGCAGAUUUCACAUAAAUGUUUUAUUGCACCAAAUCUUCAUUAAUACUAUGUUUAUACAUCUUUGUUACCUUUUAUUAAGCACUUGCCUGUUCCUGAUUACCCCUUAGAGCUACUUGUUAUGAGCAGCAAACACAGCAGUGUUGGAUCACUGUAGGAAGGACCUCAACAUGUCUGUGGUGUCAUUAAUAUAGAAGAAGUAAGGUGGGGAAGUAUCUGUUGUGACAUUUAUUACCACUUUGGAAUUGAACUCAGGAUCUUCUUGCUGUGAGGCAACAGUGCUAACCAGUGCUGCCCCGGGCUAAAACAGAUUUAUUAUCACUUUCUAAAGAGACUGUUAAACAUUUCAGCGGCAUAAUGUUCAGAUACGGUGAUAUUUGUGCUCCAGUAUCUCCUGCAUUUAGCUAUGGUUUGGUCUCAGCUCCUGGGAAACAUGUCUUACUCUUUAGCUGGAUAGUAUUAUACUUCUUUCUUGAUACACUUUUUUUCUAACACUGUUGAAAGGAGUACCACUUUUAUAUGUCUAUAAUCUCUUUAGUUCUCAUUUAGGAAAUGUACUCUCCCAUAUGUUGAUUGGUCACUAACUGCCAUUUAAAAAAACCUCAAACAAUAUAAAACAUUUGUGCUAAUAUGUCUUAACAUUACCCUUAAAAAUGGAGCAAAACAGUCAUGGGCAAAUUAUGUGGUCACUAAGGAACCUCAUUAUUGGACUGAAGGAUUACAAUGAAAUCUUGACUUUUAUACCAAUCACAAGGUAGCUUUAAUGUCACUUAACCUGUGUUAGGGAGUGUGCACAAUCAUUUGGCUUUUUCAGGCUGGAAAAAAAAAAAAAACAACAGCCAGAAAAGUCGUUUUCUGUUACACAGCUUAAAAUGUCAGCACUGAAAGGAAGUGCAAAUUUGCUAAUAAAUGAGUAACACUGAGCUGUUUCUGUCAUAUCAGUUGAUGUUGUACAUAUAUCCACCAUUCCCCAACAAAAAAAUCCAGUCAACCAUAAGCAAAGCAGUUUACACUUUAAACCUUACGCCAUUCAAGGAGUCCUGGGAAAGCUGGUGAUCCAGCUGAAGAAGAGAAUGAAAAGCAAAGCAAUGAUUUAUUUUUUAGAAUUGAUGCUACACUUUGUGUUAUGAUCGUUUUAACCUCUAUCACCCUCUUUCAUUUUUCUGAGAUAUUAAUUAUAUACAGAUGUGCAUUAUGUCUGUUGCAUCGUUUAGGCCACAAGGAAGACCUGACUGAGCAUGACUAAAUAGUUUUGUUCCUAUGUAACACAGAGCACACAUUAGUAAACCAUUUUAAUCACAGUUCAAAACUUUAAUUCACAUUAAAUCUGAUCUCAAUGUGUUAAUCAUAUAUAUAUACAGAAAGGUGCAUUACCAGUACAAGAACAAUGUACAUAUGUAACAAUGUGUGGACAGUACAGAAAGUGUUGGCAUAAAUGAAUAAUUAUGGUACUGUCAGAUAUCAAAGUUGGUCAGAAACUGGAGAGGAUGAUGAUGAUGAUGAUGGCGUGUGCAUUUAGUCAGAUGUGGUCAUAGCAGAGGCGUGACAAAAAUAAGCCUGGGCCAGCAUUCAUGCAGCUUCACCUCCCCUGUUCUGUAAGCCACGUUAGGCAGUCGUAUAUAUGCACUCUGGUCAGGAAUGGACCUCAAAUCAAAUAAAGCUGCGUCUUUAUUGGUUUAUCACAGCAAUAGAAGUUUGCAGAAACUGGAUAGAGCACAGCAGGAAAAGCACAAACACCCAUCACCUUUAUAGAGGAUUCAGAGCCACAUUGUAGAUGUUUUUCUGGCUGACAUGCAGCUGAAUUUAACAGGAAUCUGAAUACUUUAGCCAAGAAGUUAAGUGAGUGCACUUACAGAACAGACACCUCUUAUUUGGCCACACUGCGCCUGCCAACUCAGCCACCAAUUAACUCAGGAACACCACAUUUAAAGAAAGAAA